UAUAGCUCAGUGUUUAGAGAGCUUGCCUAGCAAGCAAGAGCCCUGGGGUUCAAUUCCCAGUA
rnacentral:tRNA from 1 species